UUUAUAUUUUUUUUUAUAUGUUAUAUUUUGAAUUUUUCAAAACGUCUAUAAAUUAUUAGAAAUUUGAAGAUUCCCACUCUGAAAAUUUUGUGAUCAAUAGAUUAUUAGAAAUGUUUAUCCCGCGCCUUGCGCGGGUCUUAUCCUAGUAAUAAAUUAAAGAGAGAAUUUGUUUGGCAAUAGAGUGAGCUCUAACAUUGACCAUUCUAAAGAUAAAUCUAAACUGGAUGUUAGUAAAAAAAAGGAGUAAGUAGGUGAAUGUGGUUGAGAAAUCAGCAAUCUCUAAAUGUCUUGCAUGUGAUCUCACUAAGUUUCUGAGAACUUGAGAAUCAUAGAGAAUCUAGGAAGAUUUAAUCUCACGACUGAGAACAGAGAAAAUAGUUUUUCGCAUUGUUAAAUUUCUGCAACAUUUUUGACAUCCAAAGUUCAUCUCCGGUAGGGUUAAGGAGACGAUUACCUAUGAUUGGACAGCUGGAGGCGGUCCAUCCGAUCCAGGUCGGGAGAAGAACCAAGCGGGUUGAUGAGCAAGAAGUAGUAUUAUCCAACGGUUACACCCGUAACUGGUAAAAAAUUGAAAAGAGGAGCGAAAUGUUUAGUGGUAAUAAGCCAGAAGAUGAAUAAACCGAGUGGCAAUGCAAAAUCGUGUGUGCUCAGACCAAAGGAUAAGAAACAGUCUCGAUUAUUGUGACUGGGAGGGAACAAUCAUUGCCAAAAAAGGGAGAAUCAUACUUUUUACGUUGCUUGAUCAGCGCAAAAUUAUUUUUAACAAAAUUUUAUUAAAGAAAUAAUAUAUAUAUAUAUAUAUAUAUAUAUAUAUAUAUAUUAUUUAUAUUAAUAUGAACUUAUAUAAGAUAUUAAUUAAUUUUAUUUUCAGACAUUUUAAUAUUUUUGUUAUGAAUUUUUAAUUAAAUUUCUGUAAUUUAUUUGAUUAAUUGUGUGACAUAUAUUUUUGAUAAAUUUUGAAUUACAAAACUUAUUUGAUGUCAACUUAUUGACUCUAACAUUUCAUUUCUAUAUAAUAUUCAAUUUAAUAUGAAAGCUUAUUUAAGUUUAAAUGAUGUAAUUUUCUAUUUAAGUUUAAAUGAAUGUAAUAAAUAAUGCUUAAAACAUUUAAAAUUUGAAAAAAUUUCAAUAAUAUUGUAUAUAAUAAUAAAUAUCAUGGGUUGUUAAAUAAUACCCAUUUUAAGAGGUUUGUUACUAAUCUAUAGAUAAAUGAAAAAUAAAAAUGAAAUUUUAUUAAAAUGUAGUUAUAAACCAUACUAGUCUAAGAUUUAAAUAACGCAUAAAUGCAUAAACUUUUGAUGAUCUAUAUGAGAAAAAUGGUCGGCUGUCAUGGAUAUACUUCGAAAAUCCUAUUAACAAGUUCGGAGAAGAUGAAGAAUAAAUUAUGAAGCUUUUCAUAAAAGAAAAAACAAAAUUCAACAUUUCAUAGAGCCGGUAUUGUGAUAUCUAUACUAUUCAAGCAGAAUCCUUCUUAGGAUUAUGCCCCUGACCUUUUAAAAAUAUUAUAAAACAUACCAUUACUUUUUUAAUAUCUUUAAUGAUCUACAAAAAUUUAAAGCCCAUUCGAUAGGUCCAAACUGAACCAUUGUUAAUCCAUUAGGCCAUUUUGUUUAAAAUAUAUUUAGUGAAAAUCAUUAAAAAGAUUGUUUUAUUUUUUAUACAGAGAUCAAUACCAUUAAAAGAUGAUCAUUCACUUAAUGAAAAUUACAGUUUCUCAAAAAUACCCUUAUUUUUACAAAGGAUGAAUAAAAUUCAUUAAUGGCAUUUAAGUCUUUUGGUUUUGGGCCUACAUGUACACCUAAAUAGAUCUAUAAAUAAUGGGCCUAUAUAUAUUUAAAAGAUAUACUAACUUUAAAUAUAAUAUAUGUAUAAAUAUAUUACAAACUAUAAAUAAAUUAGCAAAUAUGAAAAUAUCAUUUUCUUAAAUAUACAUAUCAAUAUUU